CCUACGGGGGGCAGCAGUGGGGAAUAUUGGACAAUGGGCGAAAGCCUGAUCCAGCCAUGCCGCGUGUGUGAAGAAGGCCUUCGGGUUGUAAAGCACUUUCAGUGGGGAAGAAAGCCUUGGGGCUAAUACCCUCGAGGAAGGACAUCACCCACAGAAGAAGCACCGGCUAACUCCGUGCCAGCAGCCGCGGUAAUACGGAGGGUGCGAGCGUUAAUCGGAAUUACUGGGCGUAAAGCGCGCGUAGGCGGUCGGAUAAGCCGGUUGUGAAAGCCCCGGGCUCAACCUGGGAACGGCAUCCGGAACUGUCAGGCUAGAGUGCAGGAGAGGAAGGUAGAAUUCCCGGUGUAGCGGUGAAAUGCGUAGAGAUCGGGAGGAAUACCAGUGGCGAAGGCGGCCUUCUGGACUGACACUGACGCUGAGGUGCGAAAGCGUGGGUAGCAAACAGGAUUAGAUACCCUAGUAGUCC
rnacentral:rRNA from 1 species